ACAACACCGGUACACACACCUGGCUAACAGGACAGACAAAAGAUCUGUUCGCUUGGUCCCAAAUUUGAACUGAAAUACUGCCAUUGACUAAAACCUAUGCUGACUACACUUCACCGACGGUGUUAUAACGCAAGGUAGGACGAAGAUACCAAGAAGAACAUUGUCGGCUGUCAACAGUAAAGACUUUCCUCCGCUCAAGACUGCUAGCCCGUAUGCUAACGCGGGAAACAAGUUAGCUUUCCACAGCUAGCUAAGCUGCUAGCCCUAGUAUGGAGGAUACAUCAAAGUUGGCCACAGAGACUGAACCUUCCCUCGGUGAUGUUUUAACCACCAUAAGGAACCUGGACAACAAGAUGAAUCCAUUCCACAAGCAAGAAAGCAUUUCAGGACAGAGCCCAUGAGGACCUCCAUUACCCACAUGGCACAGCGGAUGGACACAUUUGAGGAAAAGAUGGAUGAGCUGCUCAUGCUCUUAAGGAGCUCCCAGUCACCUCCCUCUGCUCCAGUCGAUGACGUGUUGCUGUCGCCCUGCUCAACAGUCAUCGAGCUGCAGGAGUUCAACAGGAGUCUCGGUCAACAGGAGAGGAGGAACAAAAUGCCUGCAGGGCAGAAAGACAAAGGCCUUCCAGGACCUGACAAUCUGCAGGGUUAUAACAGGCAGGUGUUAUUUUAUUGUUCACAUCAGUAUUAUGCGUAGCUUGGCUGAUAAGGGGUUUUAAUUUGACUUGUAACUUUGCUUCCUCUUGCUA